UACAAAAUAGCAAAGUAAGUGCGUUAUUAACGACAUCGUAUCAUCUUAAAGCAACCACCGGCUUCCCUCGAGCCCUAAUUCAUCACACGCGCCGCCGUCAUUCACUUACUCCGGUCGGUACCAUGGUCCGCCGCAAACGGGAAAAUCUUCCACCGGAAAAUUCAAACCGUAGUUAUCCGUCAAAGCGUAGAAGACAUUCUACGGGGUCAGAAUCACUUGUGUCUUCUUCUAGGAAAUGGGUUUUCUCUUCUGAAGAUUGUUCUGAUUGCACGGAUACAAUUGUAGUUGUUUCAUACAAUAUACUUGGUGUUGAAAAUGCGUCAAAUCAUCUGGAUUUGUAUUCUAAUAUUCCACGACGUUUCUUGGAGUGGGGCAGACGCAAGAGACUCAUACUUGAAGAGAUUGAUAGCUAUAAUGCAAACAUACUCUGUUUCCAGGAGGUUGAUCAUUUUGAUGAUUUGGAUGAUCUUUUUAAGAACAAUGGCUUUAAAAGUGUUUACAAAGGUCGCACAGGAGAAGCAAAUGAUGGAUGUGCUAUAUUUUGGAAAGACAAAUUAUUCAGUCUUUUGCAUCAAGAAGAUAUAGAGUUCCAGAAAUUUGGUCUGCGUAACAAUGUUGCUCAGCUUUGUGUUUUGGAGGUAAACCAUGAUAAUCCAGAAUCUGACACAAGUAAACUAACAACAGAGGAACAGUCCACCAGAAAAAAAAGAUUCCUUAUAGGAAAUACACAUGUGCUGUUCAACCCUAACCGUGGUGACAUCAAACUUGGCCAGAUCAGACUUUUAAUUGAUCAAGCUUACAAGUUAUCACAAGAAUGGGGCAACAUCCCUGUUAUUUUAGCCGGGGAUUUAAAUAGUGUUCCACAGAGUGCAAUAUAUGAAUUUCUGUCUUCAUCAAAGUUAGACAUCCGGUUACAUGAUCGCAGAAAUAUGUCGGGACAGCUUGAAAUCCGGCCCAAUGACAGAGUCUUCAGAUCAAAGAUUGGUGAUGAUGCUAGCAUUUCAAUGUCUGUUUCAAGGCAAUUGCUACACAAAUGGAGCGCGGAAGAACUAAUCCUUGCAACUGGCGCAAAAGGAGUCACUCGUCUUAAGCAUCAACUCAAGCUUCGCAGUGCUUAUAGUGGUGUUCCUAUGAAAAGUUUAUCCCUGGAAACAACUUGGAAUUUUUUUAAUGGGAGAUUAAGACAAUGGUGAUAUUUCCCACUUCAUAUAACAGGGAAAGCAUAGAACAAGAGAUGAUAUAGGGGAGCCCUUGGCAACAUCAUACCACUCUAAGUUCAUGGGAACUGUUGAUUAUAUCUGGCAUUCCGAGGACCUUAUCCCAAUCAGAGUUCUUGAAACCUUGCCUGUCGAUGUUCUUAGAAGAACUCGAGGACUCCCUAACGAGAAAUGGGGAAGUGAUCACCUCGCUGUUGUAUGCGAAUUGGCCUUUGCAAAAAGUGCUGAAUCUUCUCAUUCUUCUGACCUUCCUUAGAGUAUAUGUAUAAAAUCAGAGCCUUAAGCUGAUUGACAAGUAUGGAGACUGAGGAGAGUCAAAGCAUUUUCAUUUUCCCGCAUCAAAGAUCAAACUUUCUAUGCCUUUCUUUCACUGCUCAUGUGCUCAUUCCUUCAUCAUGAGAUCAAACUUUGAAUUGCUCCCGAUAAUUUGAAAUGAACAUCAUGUUGCAACCGGACACUGCAAACUGCAAACUCUCCUUCCUAGAUCAGAUGUUGCUUCGAAAGUGCUUUAAAUUCGUCGAGAAUUUUUUCACAUGCCAGGUAACAACCUGUUGUGAAGUUCAAAGAACAGUUGGUAUAUAUCCAAAAUAUUCAGAGACUAAUUAUGUAUCAUUAUGAUUAAUCUUUUGUAAGAUUUUCUCAACAAUUGCUGCACCUUUAGGUGUAGGAACUGUAUUCUCCAAAAGCUAUUUCAAUUAUUUAUCAAUCAAUCCUGAUAUAGCAUGGAAACAAUAUUUUUUAUUUUGUAAAUAUUUAUUGGUUUUAAAGGUUAGUAACAUAAUUCUCUUGGCA